rnacentral:rRNA from 1 species
GUCUAUGGCCAUACCACCAUGAACAUGCCCCAUCGUGUCUGAUCUUGGAAGCUAAGCAGGGUCGGGCCUGGUUAGUACUGGGAUGGGAGAUGUAAGAGAGUAGGUUUAUGCCUCUGAUU